rnacentral:lncRNA from 1 species
GGUAAACUAGAUGAGGUCUAAUUCAAAUUUAAAUGUCAAAUCUAGCCCUUUCAAAACCACUAUAUUCUAUUAACACUGGAUCUAGUUAACAUAUAAUCAAGUGUCAACAAGUUUCUAACCUAUACAACCCUAAACAACAAAUUAUACAACACUAUACAAUCAUUAACAACUAAUUAAUCAGUAAAAACUUCAAUCAAGCGACUGAUUUCGCACAAUCGGUGAACAGAAACCCUACAUACACAAACUAUGCAUCCAAAUACACAAACGAAUAACCGAUUCAAACAGAGGAACAAAAUAUCAUAACGAAAAACGAUAAUGUUGAAAUUAGGGCACAGAAUAUUCACCCGUAGGUUCCUUCACCAAUUUGUUCGAGUUUUUCGAAACAGUCGACGCUUCGAGAUCCCCACGACGGUGAUUCCUCGAGAUUAAGCUGACCGUAGGCCGCGCCGGCCAUGUUUUCCGGCAACCGGUUGACGGAAUUUGCAGAAGCGGGAGGUGGGGAAUAUAUGAGGGAUAGUAUUGGACUUGGGUCACCAUUAUAUUAUUAUUUUUUAUUUUUAAUUUAA